CUGAAAAUAAGACCAGAAAUGGACAUUCACAGAAACUUUCUCCAUGGCCGACUUGGUGGCGUCCCUCCUCACCUCAGCCGUAGAGAAAAUCUUCCACAAGCUCCCACUAAACACACACACACGCCGCCAACUCACAGUCUUAAAGAAAACUGAGAAUCCCCCUAUCUCAGUAAAACCGGCUCAGGGGCUGGUGAGCACACCUGAACCCAGGGGACAGAAGGACAGCAGGGACGCUGCUCCGGGCCCCCAGGACGGGGCCCCAGCAACCGCUGUGCUCUCCAAGGUGUUUUCUCACCCAAAUAUGCUGAGGACGGACGGGACAGGGCCACACAGCCGGAUCUUGAACUCAACCACAGUACACAGACACGGGUCCUUGCACAAGUAGGGAGCCAGUCACUUGGGAGGAUGUCAGGAGCAGAUGCUCUGGAAUGCCGGUACUUCCACUUCUGCACCACACCGCCAGGCCACCCACCCAGAGCCAGAGGAGGCCACAGCACACCCACC
rnacentral:lncRNA from 1 species